UUCCCAGAGCGUUCGUCGCUCACCGAUGACGUCUCACUCUCGCGCCGUUAUAGAGGCAAAGCUACUUUCUGAUUGGUCCCCGCUCGCGAUGUUCCUGGCCGCAUUUGAAACAACAACUUUAUUAGCACCUGGCACUAGGCGGAGAGAGGCGGUAAGCCGCGAGGAGGAAAGGGACUCACGGCCCGCUAUGGACCGAUCCUGCUAAGCGGAGAAUCGCUGUGGCCGGACGACGGGGCGUCGAGACAAGAAGAAAGACGUUGGCAACUCAGAGGACUGGUUGCGGCGUUAGACAAGAAAGCAAGGCCUUUAAGCAGGAUUCGGGGUGGACGUGGGGGUGGGCCGAAGCGAAGCCGGAAACAGGGAACUACAACUCCCACAAGGCCUAGGGCCACGUCCCGCUGUCCUCGGCUGCUGACCCUGAUGGGACAAGUAGUUUUGCGAAGGGCUUAACCUACAGAUUGAAGAGGUUGGAAGCUCUGAGGCCCGGGGCUUCCGGAGGUCGCGGAGAUGGAAUUGGAGCAGAGAGAAGGGACCAUGGCAGCCGUGGGCUUUGAGGAGUUCUCAGCGCCGCCAGGCUCAGAGUUGGCGUUGCCUCCCCUAUUUGGUGGCCACAUCCUGGAGAGCGAGCUGGAGACGGAAGUGGAGUUUGUGUCAGGUGGUCUGGGCGGCUCAGGGCUCCGGGAGCGAGAUGAAGAGGAAGAGGCAGCCCGGGGUCGGCGGCGGCGCCAGCGGGAAUUAAAUCGCAGAAAGUACCAGGCACUAGGUCGGCGCUGCCGGGAGAUCGAGCAGGUGAACGAGCGGGUCCUGAACAGGCUCCAUCAGGUGCAGAGGAUAACUCGGAGGCUGCAGCAGGAACGGAGGUUCCUCAUGAGAGUGCUGGACUCCUAUGGGGAUGACUACCGGGCCAGCCAGUUCACCAUUGUGCGGGAGGAUGAGGGCAGCCAGGGCACAGAUGCCCCACCCCAGGCAAUGCUGAGAAUGAGCCUCCAGAGAAAGAGGCACUGUCCCCGCCCAGAAGGACUCCUGCACCCCCAGAACCUGGCAGCCCAGCCCCCGGCGAGGGGCCCAGUGGCGGAAGAGGCGGCGAGUGCCAGAAUGGACGCCGAGCAGGAAAUGCGCUGACUCCAGAGCUGGCCCCGGUGCAGAUUAAGGUUGAGGAAGACUUUGGCUUUGAAGCAGAUGAGGCCCUGGAUUCCAGUGGGUUUCUCGGGGUCCAGACAAACUGCUGCCCUACCUGACCCUGGCCAGCCCAGCCUCUGACUGA